AAAUUAAAAACAGAAAAGAAAAAAAUAAAAAAAAGAGAGGCUUGUUCGUGGGAAAUCUUCGAAGCUCAGUACCACGCGAGGCAUCCCAGCCGCAGUGAAACCCUCCAUGCUAGUGCAUCCCACCACAGUGACAGGAGGGAAGCUGGCUCUGGCCGCUGUUCCCAAGCCCCGCCUGCGUUAGAGUCGCCUUGGCUUUCUGGCUGGAAGAUGAUUCCUGCGACAGGACCAUGUUGCUGAUGAUGAACAGCAGAGUCGUUGGAAAAUGCCUUCCUUGAGGAUUACACGUGGAACAAGGCCAUCAGUCGAGGGGAGAGCUGGCUGGUGAAACUGUCUGACUUUCCCCCCGCUGGGGAAGUGGCUUCAAUGGCUCCAUCUCCCAGGAGAAGCAGCAGGAAAGAUGCCAGCGCCUUGCCAAGCAUGUCCUCAACUUUCUGGGCUAUCAUGAUCCUGGCUAGUCUCCUAAUCGCUUACUGCAGUCAACUGGCUGCAGGUACAUGUGAGAUUGUUACUUUGGACAGAGACAGCAGUCAGCCCCGAAGGACUAUAGCCCGACAAACAGCUCGCUGUGCAUGUAAAAAAGGACAGAUUGCCGGUACAACAAGAGCAAGGCCAGCAUGUGUUGAUGCACGAAUUAUCAAAACAAAACAGUGGUGUGAAAUGCUUCCAUGUUUAGAAGGAGAAGGCUGUGAUUUGCUAAUCAAUAAAUCAGGCUGGACCUGUACACAACCAGGAGGACGGAUAAAGACAACCACGCCUGUCUGAGGCCAUGUGGUUUGGAGAUCUGAUCACUAGUCCGAAAAGGAAAGGCUGUUUGCAAGAUUUCCGGGGUGUUUUUUCCUGGAAAAGGUCUCCUGACAAAUGCAGCAACACAGAAUCCUCGUAGGAGUGGUUUAGGCUCUCUGUGAGCUACUUAACUUAGUCAAGUUUCACUGCUGUUGAUCAUCAUCUGUUAUAUGUCAUCAACUCAACUGUCUGUUUCUCUGUAUCUCAUGAAUGACAGCAUAAUUCCUCUGCAUUAUGAGCUAAAGUUUGUUCUACCAUUCUAAGGAUCACUGGACUAAGGAAUAUAGAAAAAGAGAUAUGCUUGGGCAUUAGCAAUACAAAAAAGUUCAUGGUUAACGUUUCAUCUGCGUUAUACACCACUACUGGACUUGCUGUUACCUACAUGUUUCAAUCUGAAGAGUCUGCUACAAUGAAGAGUAUCAUCCCAAUCAGCCUUAGAGAAGACUGUUUUGCCUAUGGGAGGACACUGAGGUGCAAAAGAGAAACUCUUCUUGUGCCCUAAACUGUCUGAAUUGCUUUUAUUUUCUUAUACUUUCAGUAUUUACAAUAGACCAAAGAGCAAAAUCUAUUUUAAAGUGGACACAAUCUUACUCUUAAGAGAGUUAUGUCAUUAAAAGGAAGGUCUCCACAAAGACAUGAUUCCAGCUUUCACAAAGCUGAAAUGUUGUCCAGCAGAAGUCUUUAUGGAAAGCUGAAGUAAAAACUAACUCAGAGACCUGCUCUUGAAAUGCCAUGUUCAAGAGAACAUAACGGAGCACUGAGAGAAAAUGACCUAUGUUUGAAAAACUUGGACAAAAAGAACACAAACUGUCUACACAGCACCUUUAUUCCUCUGUACUUAGAUUGACUUUCUCGUACUAAAAUCAUUUUCCGUUUUAACCAGUUAAACAUGCCUCUUCUACAGUUCCAUUUUUGAUAGUUAAAGUUGGAUAAUACAGUAUUUGCAAAGAGCAUGUUUGGUCAUCUGUGGCCUAUGUCUCAUCUGAUACACCAUUUAGCACCAGAAAGCAAAUUAAAGAGAAAACAAAAGUAACACUUGUUUGAAAGAGAUCAUUAAAUGUAUUUUGAAAAGCCUAAAGUUAUAUAUUUAACAGUUUUUAUAUGUUGUAUAUUUGUAGAAAAUCCUAUUUAACAAUUAACGUGAUAACUCUGACAGUCAUGAAAAGUGGUUCAGAGUUAAGUUGUGUUUUAUUACUUCAGUUGUCUCUGAAGUGACCGGUGUCGUUUGCUUUCUUCCAUUGGGACAUUCUGGAUGUAAAGCAUGACCAGAGAGGACUGUGUAGAAAAAGCAAAGAAUAAUGUUGUUUAUAUUACAUAAAUGCAUUCAACCAUU